rnacentral:rRNA from 1 species
GACAAACGCUGGCGGCGUGCCUAAAACAUGCAAGUCGAACGGUCACGUGUCUUCGGAUGCGUGGUAGUGGCGGACGGCUGAGUAACACGUGGGUGACCUGCCCUCGAGCGGGGGAUAACUGCCCGAAAGGGUGGCUAAUACCGCAGAUGUCAUGGAUUCGUUUUCAUGACUGAACCUCCGGGGUUCGGGGAGGGGCCCGCGGUCGAUUAGCUGGUUGGUGGGGUAACGGCCUACCAAGGCUUCGAUCGAUAGCUGGUCUGAGAGGAUGAUCAGCCAGACUGGGACUGCGAACGGCCCAGACUCCUACGGGAGGCAGCAGUUAGGAAUUUUGGGCAAUGGGCGAAAGCCUGACCCAGCAACGCCGCGUGGGUGAUGAAGGCCCUCGGGUCGUAAAGCCCUUUUCCCAGGGACGAUAGUGACGGUACCUGGGGAAUCAGCCCCGGCUAACUACGUGCCAGCCGCCGCCGUAAUAC